AGUGAACGCUGGCGGUAGGCCUAACACAUGCAAGUCGAACGGCAGCACAUUAAGAGCUUGCUCUUACUGGUUGCGAGUGGCGGACGGGUGAGGAAUACAUCGGAAUCUUCUUUUUCUUGGGUGUUAACGUAGGGAAACUUACUCUAAUACCGCAUACGACCUACGGGUGAAAGCAUGGUAUCUUCGCACCUUUCGCGAUUGUUUGAGCCGCUGUCGGUUUUGCUAGUUGCCGGGGUAAAGGCCCACCAAGGCGACGAUCCGUUGCUGGUCUGAGAGGAUGAUCAGCGACACUGGAACUGCGACACGGACCAGAAACAUAAGGGAGGAAACAGUGGGGAAUAUUGGACAAGGGGCGAAAAACUGAUACAGCAAUACCGCGUGGGUGCAGAAGGCUUACGGGUGGUAAAGCACUUAUGUUAGGAAAGAAAAGGAGCAGGUUAAUACCCCGCGGUUCUGACGGUACCCAAAGAAGAAGCACCGGCUAAAUUCGUG
rnacentral:rRNA from 1 species